CAGCGCCACGAGUCGCAAUCACGAUUAUUGGGCCUAAAGCGUCCGUAGCCGGACCAGCAAAUCUUUUGUGAAAUCGUCAGGCUCAACUUGACGGCGUGCAGAAGACACUACUGGUCUUGGGACCGGGAGGAGUCAGAAGUAUUCUAGGGGGACUGGUAAAAUGGUAUAAUCCCUGGAAGACUACCGAUGGCGAAGGCAUCUGACCAGAACGGAUCCGACGGUGAGGGACGAAAGCUAGGGGAGCGAACCGGAUUAGAUACCCGAGUAGUCC
rnacentral:rRNA from 1 species